rnacentral:rRNA from 1 species
UACAGAGGUCUCAAGCGUUGUUCGGAUUCAUUGGGCGUAAAGGGUGCGUAGGUGGCGCUGUAAGUCGGGUGUGAAAUUUCGAGGCUUAACCUCGAAACUGCAUUCGAUACUGCGGUGCUUGAGGACUGGAGAGGAGACUGGAAUUCAUGGUGUAGCAGUGAAAUGCGUAGAGAUCAUGAGGAAGACCAGUGGCGAAGGCGGGUCACUGGACAGUUCCUGACGCUGAGGCACGAAGGUCAGGGGAGCAAACGGG